GCUGUGAUGGCCGAGUGGUUAAGGUGUUGGAUUUGAAAUCCAAUGGGGUUUCCCCGCGCAGGUUAGAACCCAGCUCUCAGCG
rnacentral:tRNA from 1 species